rnacentral:rRNA from 1 species
GAUGAACGCUAGCGGCAGGCCUAACACAUGCAAGUCGAGGGAGAAGCCCUUUCGGGGGCUGAAACCGGCUCACGGGUGCGUAACUCGUAUGCAACCUACCUUUCACAGUGGGAUAGCCCGAAGAAAUUUGGAUUAAUACCCCAUAAUAUUAUUGGAUGGCAUCAUUUGAUAAUUAAAACUGCGGUGGUGAAAGAUGGGCAUGCGUCCUAUUAGCUAGUUGGAGUGGUAACGGCACUCCAAGGCUACGAUAGGUAGGGGUCCUGAGAGGGAGCUCCCCCGCACUGGUACUGAGACAGGGACCAGACUCCUACGGGAGGCAGCAGUGCGGAAUAUUGGUGCAAGGUCGGAAGACUGCAACAGCGCUGCAGCGUGGAGGAAGAAUGGCUUGUGGGUUGUAAUCUGCUUUUAUAUGGGAAGAAUAAGGUGUACGUGCACAUUGAUGACGGUACCAUAUAAAUAAGCAUCGGCAAACUCCGU